GUGACAGCCGCCGCGGUAAAACGUAGGAGCCAAGCGUUAUCCGAAUUCACUGGGCGUAAAGCGUGUGCAGGCGGCAUGCUAAGUUGGAUGUGAAAUCUCCUGGCUCAACUGGGAGAGGCCGUUCAAUACUGGCAGGCUAGAGGGCAACAGAGGAAGGUAGAAUUCCCGGUGUAGUGGUGAAAUGCGUAGAUAUCGGGAGGAAUACCAGUGGCGAAGGCGACCUUCUGGGUUGCACCUGACGCUCAGACACGAAAGCUAGGGGAGCGAACGGGAUUAGAUACCCCGGUAGUCC
rnacentral:rRNA from 1 species